GGUCCUCAGCUUCUCGGACCCAUAUCAGAGAUAGUAAUGCCUAAGCACAAAUAACUUGUGUGACAUUCCCAACUCCAAAAGGGUCUCCACUGAGUAGAUGGGUCUUAAGCCAACUUGUUAAGGACUACUCCACACAAGUUGAAAAUGACUAUACAAUCCUUCUAUCUUAAUUGCACUCAAGUCCGGGUUAGAACUUAUCUCACUACUCAAAGAUCACCAAGCA
rnacentral:lncRNA from 1 species